rnacentral:sRNA from 1 species
UAUUAAUUUUUUAUUAAUUAUUAUAGUUCACUUCUCAUCUUUAUAUGAUUCUAUUUUUCGAAA